rnacentral:rRNA from 1 species
AAAUUGAAGAGUUUGAUCAUGGCUCAGAUUGAACGCUGGCGGCAGGCCUAACACAUGCAAGUCGAACGGUAACAGGAAGCAGCUUGCUGCUUCGCUGACGAGUGGCGGACGGGUGAGUAAUGUCUGGGAAACUGCCUGAUGGAGGGGGAUAACUACUGGAAACGGUGGCUAAUACCGCAUAACGUCGCAAGACCAAAGAGGGGGACCUUCGGGCCUCUUGCCAUCAGAUGUGCCCAGAUGGGAUUAGCUUGUUGGUGAGGUAACGGCUCACCAAGGCGACGAUCCCUAGCUGGUCUGAGAGGAUGACCAGCCACACUGGAACUGAGACACGGUCCAGACUCCUACGGGAGGCAGCAGUGGGGAAUAUUGCACAAUGGGCGCAAGCCUGAUGCAGCCAUGCCGCGUGUAUGAAGAAGGCCUUCGGGUUGUAAAGUACUUUCAGCGGGGAGGAAGGUGUUGUGGUUAAUAACCGCAGCAAUUGACGUUACCCGCAGAAGAAG